UGGGGAAUUUUGGACAAUGGGCGAAAGCCUGAUCCAGCAAUGCCGCGUGUGUGAAGAAGGCCUUCGGGUUGUAAAGCACUUUUGUCCGGAAAGAAAUCCUUGGCUCUAAUACAGUCGGGGGAUGACGGUACCGGAAGAAUAAGCACCGGCUAACUACGUGCCAGCAGCCGCGGUAAUACGUAGGGUGCAAGCGUUAAUCGGAAUUACUGGGCGUAAAGCGUGCGCAGGCGGUUUGCUAAGACCGAUGUGAAAUCCCCGGGCUCAACCUGGGAACUGCAUUGGUGACUGGCAGGCUAGAGUAUGGCAGAGGGGGUAGAAUUCCACGUGUAGCAGUGAAAUGCGUAGAGAUGUGGAGGAAUACCGAUGGCGAAGGCAGCCCCCUGGGCCAAAUACUGACGCUCAUGCACGAAAAGCGUGGGGAGCAAACAGGAUUAGAUACCCUGGUAGUCCACGCCCUAAAACGAUGUCAACUAGUUGUUGGGGAUUCAUUUCCUUAGUAACGUAGCUAACGCGUGAAGUUGACCGCCUGGGAGUACGGUCGCAAGAUUAAAACUUAAAGGAAUUGACGGGGUCAUAGCUG
rnacentral:rRNA from 1 species